CUCGUUAGGAUGUGCGUCAAAAGGGUCGCGUCCUGUGUGUGUAUCGUCGCGUCGUAGUCAUCGUCCCGCUGUAGUCGUCAUCCUCGUCGUUUGACAUGUCGCGCGCGAGUCAAAUGCCACCAGAGGCAUCACAACUUGCAUGUAAAAUUUUUAUUGUUUAUCACAAUUACCGUUAAAAGGCGGUAAUGCAGUGAAGUAUAGUUUUUGUGUGCGAAAUUGAGUGAUUUGAAAGGAAAAAAUUAAGCAGCGAAUAAAAAUUGCAUGAGAAAAAGUGAAAACGAAAAAUUGUUGCAAGUCGACGAAUAUGAAGAUGAAGUUGAAGUGAAGUGAGUGGAGGAAAAAAAGAAAGUAAAACAAAAGAAAAUUGAAGCAUGAAAUAAAAAUUGCAUAGGUUUGAGUGAUAUUUCGGGAAAGGAAAAAGAGUUAAGUGCAAGAAAAAAGUUUAACAAGAAAAAAAGGAGAUAUAUACAUAUUUUGCGGUCAGAGUGCUGCGGUCAUAGUGUUUGAAGUGAUUGAAAUUAUUGCAAUGCUUGUUUGCGCGAUAAAGCCGUUCUUCAAUAGCUGAAAAGCUGCACAGCAGUUCGCUGCAAAGUCAUAACAUUCAUGGCAAUAAAAGAAUCCAUAAACAAAAUGCAUUAAGACUUGUUAACAUGCGAAUGAUAUGUGCAAACAACGAAGCAUUUGUUAUGAAACAAAAUACUUGCAGAAGCAACAAGUAACAAAAAAAGAACAACAAAAGAGUGAGAAGAAGCGAGGAAACUGAAUUCAUGCAACAAAUGCCAUUAACUGGAGACAAAAACGGAAAAAUUGAGAAAAAUUAUAGCAACUGAAGCAAAAAAGGCUGCAAAAAUUGAUGAGUCAAACAAAAAUAAAAGAGCAACAUUAACAAAAAAGCAGCAACAACAAAAAAGAGCAACAACAACAAUAACAAAAUUAUUGAAAAGCUUCGUCAUCAGCAAAGAAAAGUAAAAUAGCAAAAAAAGACCAAAAAAGUGAAACGAAAAUUAUUAAUAACCACCGUUACUGUUGUCGGCCGAGAAAAAAAUUUCAAAUAAACACGAAAAGAAAGCCACCGAUACAAUAACUUGUGCCAUCACUACCACCAACAAAAACAAAAAUAACAACAACAACAAGAGCAACUCACCAACUUCCUUGUACUGCUCGUUAAUUAAGUUUUAGAACAGCCGCCAAAAGUAGGCAACAACAA